rnacentral:lncRNA from 1 species
UGUUCAACCAGUAGAGGAGUUGCUACUGUCCUAAAGCUUAGCUGAGUGGCUCUAGUUUAUGUGGGACUCUGGGCAUGCCUAGUAACCAUGGGUACCAUUGGGAGGGUAGCUUAUUGAUCAUUUCCAGUUUUCUGCUCUGUUGCUGCUGUAAGAAGCUGUGGGUUAGACCACCAGUCAUGCCAUGGUGAAUAUGGAUGCUACUAUUUUUCUAGCAAAAGCAGGCUGUCAGAGUUAUUGGAACUGGAAUGGACUCUCAACCAGACUGUUAGCCCUCUGGUGGCCUGGACUGUGGCCCUUGGCCUAUGAGUCUCCCUGUGUUGAUCCCCUGGGAAGGGAAGGCUCUGCCAAGUUUUAGGAAGCAUACAUUAAAUUAUUCUUCAGUGUAGUUUUGUUCAUGAGCAUCAGUAGGGGCUGGAUUUGCCUUAAUGUACAAAGGGAACUGAGAGGUUGCAGAGUCAUAACAGAACUCUCUGGUGACCUCCAUUUCUAGACAGAGCAUUAGAGUGUGGGGCCUCUCUUUGGAAGAAAGAGAUCAGAAACUCUAGGGUGAGUAACCUUACAACUUAGGAAUCAUGUAGAUUUAAGUUUGUCAAGUUGUGAAAUCUGUGUUUUUAUUUAAUUUCUAUACAUAUAUGAUCAUACAUAGUCAGGUAACAUUGGUCAAGAUUAUAUUUUCCCUGUCUGAUUUUUUCUAAGUCUUCUGUUUGGAACUUAAGUGUAUUUCUGUGCUUUUGUCCUUGCCUUGUCCUCUUCAUCUUUUUAUUUUCUUGCAAAUAUCAUACAAAUUCAUGAUUGAAGUACAUUUGUGAAUAAUUAUAGAUAUCAUAUUGUAGCAAUGUGUGUUCUACAUGCUCAUAAUAGUAUUGAGAAUUCUGAGUGUUUACAUUUGGCUUAGCAAAUACAUUUUCUGUAUAAUAUUGUUAGGAAUUUUCUUCAGAUUGUAUUCAAUUUAUGAUACAAAAUCAACAUAUGCACAGUCUUAAUAUUGAUGUGUCACAUUCCUAUGGUUAAUUUUUUUUAAAAGAAGCUUUCGCUUAUUUUUUUAAUACAUGCAUUACAGGAAACAAAACACAGGAAAGCAAGAACUAAGUCACCCAGUCACAAGCAGCUCAGCUCAAUAUGUCAUCCUAGAUCCUGCAAGCCUAUGGUUAAUUUAUUUCAUGCAUUCAUUCAUUUAAUUACUUAGUUAAUCUUUGAAAGAUAUAGUAUAUUGGAUAAAAAAUACUAUGUGAUUGAGCAAAUCACUCAGUACAUAUUCUUCUUAGGAAUGACCUGAGUUCAGAUCUUACCAUCCAAGUUGGGAGGGUCAUGAGCACUCACUACUCAAGAUCAGGGGAUCUACAACCCUCUUCUCUGAUGACGUAUCAAUAUAUAAACAUGGAAGAUGUUUAUACAUCUCUGUGUGGUAUAUCUCACACAGAUAUACCAGUUAUCCUUAGAGAAAUGCUCUUCUUUACCAUAGAGCAUGAGAUACUUUUUGAGGUCCUAAGUAUGUUCUACAACAUUGAAAC